rnacentral:lncRNA from 13 species
AAACUAAUGGGAUUUAGAAGGUCAUGCACACCUCCAAUACACAGACUGUAAACUAAUGGGAUUUAGAAGGUCAUGCACACCUCCAAUACACAGACUGUAAACUAAUGGGAUUUAGAAGGUCAUUAGCAGACCUUGCUACUGAAACGAGAGAAAGAUGAGAGGGAGAAAAACAUAGAAAUUCUUCAAAUGUUCUUAGACAAAUACCACCUGUCUUAACCUUAUUACCACAAUCAUCUUUUGGCAAUGAAUUAAAUCAUUUGAAUUUAAGCUCUGGCCUCUGGCUGUUUUACUACAGCAGGGACACAAAUGGAGACAGCUACUCGCAUAUUUAUUAACAUUAGGUAGGACGUUGUCGACUCCAGUUGAUUAGCGAUUCGACAUUUGCCCUUUGACCUCCAAAGGCUCUAGGUUGGGGCCUAGCCAUUAGAGGGCUAUUGACUGGAAAAUCAUUAAGACAUGACAACUGUGGGGGGCGUUGAUUGGGAAUGAAAGAGGGAAGGAGUACUAGAGGAGAAUAGGUGAUUAUAUGUAACUCUGUAAUAUAAUAGGUGAUUAUGUGUAACUCUGUAAUAGGUGAUUAUACUGUAUGUAACUCUGUAAUAGGUGAUUAUGUAACUCUAAUAGGCAGCAGGUGCCUUCCCCGGGCACCUGAAGACGUGGAUGUCGAUUAUAGCAGCCCCCCACACCUCUCUGAUUCAGAGGGGUUGGGUUAAAUGCGGAAGAUACAUUUCAGCUGAAUACAUUCAGUUUUACAACUGACUAGGUAGAAAUAAUAGUGGAUGCCCCCCCCCCCCAGAUGAUUGACAGCUCCUACUUGUAGCCCAGAAAAGUAGGGAGUCCAGGGGUCGUUGACCUCAUUGACCCCAACUGGACAGUGGGGGCCGACCAACGGCUAGACAAGGAGACUGCCGCUACGCCCCUCUGAAAAGAACACAAUCUGUCCAUUCCUCUAUCCUUUCAUCCCCCUCUCCCUCACUCCACUGUGUUGCAGGGUAGACACUCCUAACUCUCCCGGCAGACAUAAUUGUCACAGAUUAUCCAAUUACCCAGACUGGUUGGAGGAACCUGUGGAGGAUAGACUUUUCUCUUUUUAUGUAUUACAGCUUCCUACGGCAAGCUCUGAGGAAGUGCUGGGAGAAGAGAUGAGGGUGUAUGUAUAAGCUAAAACAA